UGGCGAACGGGUGAGUAAUACAUCGGAACGUGUCCUGUAGUGGGGGAUAGCCCGGCGAAAGCCGGAUUAAUACCGCAUACGACCUAAGGGGGAAAGCGGGGGAUCUUCGGACCUCGCGCUAUGGGGGUGGCCGAUGGCAGAUUAGCUGGUUGGUGGGGUAAAGGCCUACCAAGGCGACGAUCUGUAGCUGGUCUGAGAGGGCGACCAGCCACACUGGGACUGAGACGCGGCCCAGACUCCUACGGGAGGCAGCAGUGGGGAAUUUUGGACAAUGGGGGCAACCCUGAUCCAGCAAUGCCGCGUGUGUGAAGAAGGCCUUCGGGUUGUAAAGCACUUUUGUCCGGAAAGAAAACUGCCACCCUAAUAAAUGGUGGUGGGAUGACGGUACCGGAAGAAUAAGCACCGGCUAACUACGUGCCAGCAGCCGCGGUAAUACGUAGGGUGCGAGCGUUAAUCGGAAUUACUGGGCGUAAAGCGUGCGCAGGCGGUCUGUUAAGACCGAUGUGAAAUCCCCGGGCUUAACCUGGGAACUGCAUUGGUGACUGGCAGGCUUUGAGUGUGGCAGAGGGGGGUAGAAUUCCACGUGUAGCAGUGAAAUGCGUAGAGAUGUGGGGGAAUACCGAUGGCGAAGGCAGCCCCCUGGGCCAACACUGACGCUCAUGCACGAAAGCGUGGGGAGCAAAACAGGAUUUAGAUACCCCUGGUAGUCCCACGCCCUAAACGAUGUCAACUAGUUGUUUGGGGAUUUCGUUUCCUUUGGUAACGUAGCUAACGCGUGAAGUUGACCGCCUGGGGAGUACGGUCGCAAGAUUAAAACUCAAAGGAAUUGACGGGGACCCGCACAAGCGGUGGAUGAUGUGGAUUAAUUCGAUGCAACGCGAAAAACCUUACCUACCCUUGACAUGGUCGGAACCCUGCUGAAAGGUGGGGGUGCUCGAAAGAGAACCGGUGCACAGGUGCUGCAUGGCUGUCGUCAGCUCGUGUCGUGAGAUGUUGGGUUAAGUCCCGCAACGAGCGCAACCCUUGUCCUUAGUUGCUACGCAAGAGCACUCUAGGGAGACUGCCGGUGACAAACCGGAGGAGGGUGGGGAUGACGUCAAGUCCUCAUGGCCCUUAUGGGUAGGGCUUCACA
rnacentral:rRNA from 1 species